AAUUUUCGGCAAUGGGGGCAACCCUGACCGAGCGCCGCCGCGUGAGUGAAGAAGGUCUUCGGCUUGUAAAGCCCUGUCGUCAGGGCAGAACCGUACCAGAAGGGAAUGAAUGGUACCUGACGGUACCUUACCCGCAAGCCCCGCCCAACUCGGUGCCCGCAGCCGCGGUAAUACGUAGGUGGCAAGCGUUAUCCGGAAUUAUUGGGCGUGAAGGGAGCGCAGGCGGCUUAUUAAGUCUGAGGUUAAAGUUCGGGGCUCAACCCCGUGAUGCCUUAGAAACUGGUAGGCUAGAGUGCAGGAGAGAUGAGUGGAAUUCCAUGUGUAGCGGUAAAAUGCGUAGAUAUAUGGAGGAACACCAGUGGCGAAGGCGGCUCACUGGCCUGUAACUGACGCUGAGGCUCGAAAGCGUGGGGAGCAAAUA
rnacentral:rRNA from 1 species